rnacentral:rRNA from 1 species
CCUACGGGAGGCAGCAGUGGGGAAUAUUGCACAAUGGGGGAAACCCUGAUGCAGCGACGCCGCGUGAGUGAAGAAGUAAUUUGUUAUGUAAAGCUCUAUCAGCAGGGAAGAAAAUAACGGUACCUGAGUAAGAAGCCCCGGCUAACUACGUGCCAGCGACCGCGGUAAUACGUAGGGGGCAAGCGUUAGCCGGAUUUGCUGGGUGUAAAGGGAGCGUAGGCGGCAGUGCAAGUCUGGGGUGAAAGGCGGGGGCUCAACCCCCGGACUGCUCUGGAAACUGCACGGCUGGAGUGAAGGAGAGGGAAGUGGAAGUCCUAGUGUAGCGGUGAAAUGCGUAGAUAUCAGGAGGAACACCAGUGGCGAAGGCGGCUUACUGGACUGUAACUGACGUUGAGGCACGAAAGCGUGGGGAGCAAAAAGGAUUAGAUACCCCAGUAGUC